UACGUAGGGUGCAAGCGUUGUCCGGAAUUAUUGGGCGUAAAGAGCUCGUAGGCGGCCUGUCGCGUCGGCUGUGAAAACCCGGGGCUCAACCCCGGGCCUGCAGUCGAUACGGGCAGGCUAGAGUCCGGCAGGGGAGACUGGAAUUCCUGGUGUAGCGGUGAAAUGCGCAGAUAUCAGGAGGAACACCGGUGGCGAAGGCGGGUCUCUGGGCCGAUACUGACGCUGAGGAGCGAAAGCGUGGGGAGCAAACAGG
rnacentral:rRNA from 1 species